rnacentral:rRNA from 1 species
GAUGAACGCUGGCGGCGUGCUUAACACAUGCAAGUCGAACGAACGACUAUUAACAGAACCUUUCGGGGCGAAGAUGAUAGAAGUUAGUGGCGGACGGGUGCGUAACGCGUGGGUAAUCUGCCUUUGUCAAAGGAAUAACUAUUCGAAAGAAUAGCUAAAACCGUAUAACAUAUUAAUAGGGCAUCCUAAUAAUAUCAAAACUGAGGUGGACAAAGAUGAGCCCGCGUCUGAUUAGCUAGUUGGUGAGAUAAAAGCCCACCAAGGCAACGAUCAGUAGCCGACCUGAGAGGGUGAACGGCCACAUUGGAACUGAGACACGGUCCAAACUCCUACGGGAGGCAGCAGUGGGGAAUAUUGCACAAUGGGGGGAACCCUGAUGCAGCAACGCCGCGUGAGUGAAGAAGGCAUUCGUGUCGUAAAACUCUGUAGUAGGGGAAGAAAGAAAUGACAGUACCCUAAAAGAAAGCCCCGGCUAACUACGUGCCAGCAGCCGCGGUAAUACGUAGGGGGCAAGCGUUAUCCGGAAUAACUGGGCGUAAAGGGUGCGCAGGUGGUUUAACAAGUUAGUGGUGAAAGGCAUAGGCUCAACCAAUGUAAGCCAUUAAAACUGUUUAACUUGAGUGCAGGAGAGGAAAGUGGAAUUCCUAGUGUAGCGGUGAAAUGCGUAGAUAUUAGGAGGAAUACCAGUGGCGAAGGCGACUUUCUGGACUGCAACUGACACUGAGGCACGAAAGCGUGGGGAGCAAACAGG